ensembl:lincRNA
AGCCAUAAGGAAUUAAUGAUCUUAGCUACCGGGCUGGGAGCAGUGGCUCACACCUGUAAUCCCAGCACCUUGGCAAGCCAAGAUGGGAGGAUCGCUUGAGGCCAGGAGUUCGAGACCAGCCUGGGCAACAGUGAGGCCCUGUCUCUACAACAAACAAGCAAACAAACAAACAAGAACAACAAAAAAACUCAGCUACCACUUCAUGAGUAUCUAUGCUGCGCCAGGGACUACUUCAGGUUCUCCACCUGGUACAAGAAGAGUGGCCCAGAGAAAGGUCACUAACAACCUCCUUAUUGCCGAAUCAAACCAAUUUGGGCUGAAGAGCAUCCCAGCUGGAUGGCCCAUGGGUGAUGUGCGAGCAGCUGGUCCUGGGAGCUUUCGUCUGAGGGCAGACGCACGGCUCAGCCCUCCUGGAUGCAGGGCGCAGGUGAAAUGCGUAGCAGAGCUCAUUCAAGUGGCAGGUGUCUCCUAGUCCCAGCAGGUGGUUCCGUCACCUGCAGAGUGCUUGGCACUGGGAGAGGAUUGCGACUCCUGCUCUUCUCCCAGGUCAAGAAGGCCCCAGCAAACUCCCUGCAAGCCCCUAGGUGUAACUUCCUCCCACUCUGGUGAAUCUCUUCUCUUCCAAUGUACUGUCAGUAGAUAAAUACCAUGUCCUCCCCCAUUCAGGGGCUCAAAGCCAAGCACGUGACAUCAAAAACUCUGGCUCGGCUGGGCGUGGUGGCUCAUGCCUGUAAUCCCAGCACUCUGGGAAGCUGAGGCAGGCAGAUCACGAGGUCAGGAGUUCAAGACCAGCCUGGCCAACAUAGUGAAACCCUGUCUCUACUAAAAAUACAAAAAUUAACCGGGCAUGGUGGCACGUGCCUGUAGUCCCAGCUACUCGGGAGGCUGAGGCAGGAGAAUCGCUUGAACCCGAGAGGCAGAGGUUGCAGUGAGCUGAGAUUGUACCACUGCACUCCAGCAUGGGCGACACAGCAAAACUCCGUCUCAAAAAAAAAAAGAAUAGGAAAGGGAAUGGUGACCAGUUAAAAGAUGGAGCAUUGGUGGCUUAGGAGUCCCAAAUGUAAGGAAGUUGUCACAUCAGGACACUAAGAGGAAGAAGACAGAAUAUCAUUUGGAGGUGGAGGUCUGAGACGGGGGGUUAAAAGUAGCAGUUCGGCAGCAGCUACUGUUCUUGCCAAUGAUAAUAUGACCAGGUCAGCAGGUGGCCAAAGAACAGAUCCUUGGCAGCAGGCAGGUCUGGGCCCUAGGUCCUGGGUUGGAUGGGCUGUCUACAUCCAUGAUGCUGAAAUCCUGGCAAAGGGAGGUGGAGGGAAUAGCGGCUGAGAGACAGACGGGGAGCCACUGCGUGUGUGAUCCUGGCUGACGUGGAUUGCCUGGGAGGAAGGCAUGUGGCUGGAACCAGGGAGAUCACUCCAGAGCCUGUGCACCAAAGGUGCUGCGAGGUUUGAGGAAGGAGAGAGGGACAAUGAUCGGGAAGAAGCAACGAGGAACUUGGGAGAGCCCGACCCCAUCUCCAGCCUUUUGGGACAGGGAGCCUGGAAGGAAAAAGCAGCCCCCUUGAAGGGUUGAAAGGAAGCCGUGUCCUCACUCAGGGAAGAGUCAGGUGAGCAGAGAAGGGGGUGGGGACAUAGAGGGCUUUGCUGUGGGCAGGGGCUGGGGCCUGAGGACAGGUGGGGCACUUGGCAGAUGAGGAGGGGCGUGAGACUGGUCAGAUAGAGGUAUGUCGACAGCCAUGUGGGGCCAGGCAUUCAGGUGACAACACGUGAGCUGGGAGACAAGGGCUUUAGGCAGCGUGGAGCCUCAUGGGCUCUUGUCCCCUGAAUGUUCCUCAGACUCCUCCUCCUCUCUAUUGAAGCUCACUCUAUAGGGGAUUUAACCCACUCCCACUGGAGUACACUCUGCCAAUGAGUGACUCCCACAUUUAUCUCCACCUCCAGCCUCUCCGCAGCGCUCCAGCCUGCACAUGGGAUUACCUGCUGGGCACUGCCACGUGGAUGUUUUAAACACCUUCCAAAGUGCAAGGCGUGGUCCCUCAAACCCGCUCUUCCCCCAGGAAACGGCACCACCGUCCACUCUGUCGCUUAGGACAAAAACCCAGAAGUCACCUUAGAGACCUCUGUUUCCUUUUCCCCCUUUCCCAACCCAACACCAGGUGCCAGCGUCUCCUGCUUCGGAAGCCACCAGGGCCGUGUGCACUUGUGGCCCCAUGGCUGCUGCUGGGUCCCUGCUUCUGCCACUGCUCACCCGGCCCAGGCACAGCUUCCACCCUCCCACAGGAGCAGCCAGAGUGAACCUCCCCAGACCCACAUCAGAGCCAGCUCCUCCCCUCCUUCGGCUUCCUAAAGUGCUUGGGAUAGAUUCCUGAGUCCAUGGCUGGGUCCCGCAGGAGGGCUCCUUCCCACCUCACUCCCCGCCAUGGUCACCUUUGCCCUCCCAUCCCCCGCCUCACUGGCCCUCCUUACUCUCUCUUCUCAAAACACUCACAUCUGCUCCAAUGCCACCUCCUCCCAGAGGCCCACCCCCACCCUGAAGGUCCUGCCACAGAACAAUCCCUCCUCCACUCUCUCCUGUUGCUCUGCUCUGUUAUUCUCUAGAUCAAUCCAUAGCACCUGACAUACCGAUGUUUCCUUGUUGAUUUGAUGAUUUUCCUCUCUCCACUAGGACAAGCUCCAUGGAGGAUGUGGGCAAAACACCAUCUUUUUCUUUUCUUUUCUUUUGAGACGGUUUCCUUUUGUCUCCCAGGCUGGUGCGUGCAGUGGCACCAUCUCGGCUCGCUGCAGCCUCCACCUCCCAGGUUCAAGCAAUUCUCCCGUCUCAGCCUCCUGAGUAGCUGGGACUAAAGGCGUGAGCCACCACACCCAGCUAAUUUUUUGUAUUUUUAGUAGAGACAGGGUUUCACCAUGUUGGCCAGGCUGGUCUUGAACUCCUGACCUCAGGUGAUCCACCCUCCUUGGCCUCCCGGAAUGCUGGGAUUACAGGAGUGAGCCACCGCUCGUGGUCUUUCCUGUUUGUUUUCAAGGCCCUCCUUUGAAGCAUCACCUUUUCCACUGCUGUAUCCCACGCCUUGAACCUGCCCAGCUGAUAGCAGGGGUGUAAUAAAUAUUUGUUGAAUAAGUGGAUAACUAAAGAAGCCUAUUUUAUUUUAUUUGGGCCUCAAGAGCCUGUUCUGAAAAGUCAAAAGCUGAAUUUAUGAUUCCUGCUUUAGCAAUUCUAAUUCUCCCCAAGGCAAUUCAUCCUCGGUAUUAGGCAGGUAGUCAAGGAGGAGCAGCAGCCAAGAGCACAUCAAGUAAUAUUUUAUUUCUUGGUUGGUACCAGGUCUUGGGCAGCGCAGGAAGAGAGUAUGCGUCUUUCAGCACAAUAAAAGACAAGUUCUUACCCUGAAGGGCGGGACAUCUUUCUGUCUUCCAUGACCUGAGUCUCUGUUGUCUCUGAAAAGUGGAAUGGAGCAGGCUUGGGGCACCCACCUUCCCUCUCACUCAUGGGCUGCAUGUGUUUUGGAGUUCAGGGGCUGGGUGCACAUUACUGCUCACUGGGCUAAACACCGGUAGGAGUGGGGAGCUCUACCUGAAUUUGAGCUUAGGGAAGAAGAAAGGUCAUUGAGAAAAUGAAAUGUAAUACUUGAAGGAAAUGAGUGAGACGGAUGCUUUCAAGGGAGAACUCUCAAGUGAAAAGGCCUGCAGGGGCUGGGCGUGGUGGCUCACGCCUGUAAUCCCAGCACUUUGGGAGGCCGAGGUAGGAGGAUCACUUGAGAUCAGGAGUUUGACACCAGCCUGGCCAACAUGGUGAAACCCUGUCUCUACUAAAAAUACAAAAAAAAAAAAUU